rnacentral:lncRNA from 1 species
AUGGUAUGGAAUUGAGGAAAGAUAGAGGAGUGGAGCUAGAUUUUGAUCGAAAAACUCUGGCAAGUGAAAGGUUGGAGUUGUGCAGUACGUUAGGUGAAGGAGAGAGAUUUUGGGUGAAGGCUCCUUGACUGGGUAUUGAUCAAAUUCAGAUUACGUUGGAAAGCUUGUAUGAAGAUGUUGCUGGGUCUUUAUUUCUUGUUGAGAUGAUGACGUUCUGUUUGGACUUCAUGAGACAAAUUAGCUCAAUUGUUCAAUUGUUUGUUAAUAAUUAAAGUGAGACAAGUUGGCUGGUUGUUUAACAAUUAGAGUGUUAUAUGCUCUUUGUUGGAGUAUGGGUAUAAGCUUUAUUAAAGGUUGCCUGGAGGUAGGGUCAUUCAAUUGUAAAUUUGCUUUGGUGUUCUUGUAAUUGUAAUUCUGGAAUGAAUAAGGGAUACAUAUAUGUAUAAUUUUCUUC